rnacentral:rRNA from 1 species
AACGAACGCUGGCGGCAUGCCUAACACAUGCAAGUCGAACGAGACCUUCGGGUCUAGUGGCGCACGGGUGCGUAACGCGUGGGAACCUGCCCUUAGGUUCGGAAUAACUCCCCGAAAGGGGUGCUAAUACCGGUUAAUGUCUUCGGACCAAAGAUUUAUCGCCUUUGGAUGGGCCCGCGUUGGAUUAGCUAGUUGGUAGGGUAAAAGCCUACCAAGGCGACGAUCCAUAGCUGGUCUGAGAGGAUGACAAGCCACACUGGGACUGCGACACGGCCCAGACUCCUACGGAAGGCAGCGGUAGGGAAUAUUGGACAAUGGGGGCAAACGUAAUCAAGCAGUGCCGCGUGUGUGAGGAAGGGCUUUGUGUUGUAAAGCUCUUUUACCCGGGAUGAUAAUGACAGUACCGGGUGAAUAAGCUCCGGCUAACUCCGUG